CUUAGGAGAAACAACACCACCUAGUAUCCAAAGAGUCGCUCAAAAGUCUAGCUUAGAACUUUUGAUGGAAAGUUACUUUUGAUGAAAUCGUGUCACAAUUUCUCUGUUCUUCCAAAACCACAAAUUUGAAGCCAAUAAACAACAACUACAAUUCCUGAGAAGUAUAGUGUUAGGCCUAAUAACGGAGUUGUGUUGCCUUUGGUCUACUUGUGAUAUUAAAGUUACAAUGCAAGCUCAAAAGAAGGCACCUCCUAAUAUGCAUUGCAUCGAUGAGUUUCUCAUUCAAAGCAUAGUUACAAGGCCUGGUGCAUAUUGAGAAAUGUUCUUACAAGAUUCCGGAUAUAAGGUUGAAGUGUGCAAAUUGAGAGUUGUUUUUUUAAGCAUGACUCGCAAAAUAUAAGGAAGACAAAAAAAUAAUUUUUAUUGAAUAGCAAUAUGCUUCUAAAACAGAGUUGUAACUAAAAAUUAAAACAAAUAUCAAAUAACAAAUCUUAAACCUCUAC